GGUGAGGCUCGCGGCCGGAGUGCGGCGCUGGGCGGAAGCUACCAUGGCGGCCGAGCGAAAGACAAGGUUGUCCAAGAAUCUACUGCGCAUGAAGAAAUACAGGUAUUCAUGCUAGUGAGAGACUGGCAGCAGGACUGUUAUUUACUGCCAUAUUUUGAGUCAACUUUCUGCAGAUUUGAUAAGAGCAGCUCAAGAGUUUAGCAGCAUUUCAGAGGAAAAAUAAAAACGAAGAGCAGACUUAUAGAUGUACCUUUGCUUCUGCCUACAUUUAUCGGGCUCUUACUGUGCUUCAGUCAUCAUAUUGGGACAGAUGAAGGAGAUGACCCAGACACCCAGUCCUUAAGGUCUCCAGAAAAGAUAGAUGCUCAGAAAGUUCAGAUGUGUUUAUGCAAAGGGGACUGGACUCAGAAACCAAGAAACAACUAGAAGAAGAAGAAAAGAAAAUCAUUAGUGAAGAGCACUGGUACUUGGAUUUGCCAGAGCUUAAAGAGAAAGAGUAGGUU
rnacentral:lncRNA from 10 species